ACCUAACUGGCUCAGUUGGUGGAGUGAAUGACUCCUGAUCUUGGGAUUGUGAGUUUGAGCCCCACAUUGGGUA
rnacentral:tRNA from 1 species